rnacentral:rRNA from 1 species
GAUGAACGCUGGCGGUGUGCCUAACACAUGCAAGUCGAACGAAAGGACAAGAAGAUUGUUCUCUUGCUGUUAGCGGCGGACGGGCGAGUAAGAAGUACAUAACAUACUUCUAUGACUGGGGUAAUAACGGGAAAAAAGAGACACUAAUACCUCAUACUAUGUACCGCUUGGUGCAAAAGUGCAUCACAGUCUUGCCGAUACAUAUAGACGGAUCCGGGUUGCAUUAGCUAGUUGGUAAGGUAACGGCCUACCAAGGCGACGAUGCGUAGCCGACCUGAGAGGAUGAUCAGCCACACUGGAACUGAGACACGGUCCAGACUCCUACGGGAGGCAGCAGUGGGGAAUCUUCCACAAUGGGCGAAAGCCUGACCGAGCAACACCGCGUGGGUGAUGAAGGUCUUCGGGUCGUAAAGCUCUUUUAUUGGGAAAGAACAGAAGUAGAUGAAACUGUGGAUGUUUUGACGGUACCUAAUCAGUAAGCAACGGCUAACUUCGUG